GUCAGUAAGCUUGGCCAGAUAGUUUUAACCCAGUUAACAUUUUAGAGCUUAUCUCUGGGGAUGUGAGAGACUGACCAUUCAGAUAUCGAUAGAAACAUUAUUGCAUUUUAGCAGUCCAGGAUUCCUUAUGUUAAACAGUUGUGGGUGCUAGACCCAUAUUCAAUGGGUGCUUGCUUUUCCACAUUCUAGAAGCAGCUAUACUACUGUUUUGUAAGGUCUUUUUGGUGGAUGAUUUACAAAACAAACAUUUCUGUUGCAGUUGGCAGCUCUAUAUAGAACUUACUACACACAAAAUCCCCAUUUUCAUCAGUGAUUAAACUAGAUUGUCCUUGAGGCCAUAUCUCUCCAGCAGAAUCUUCAGGACCAAAGAACAAACUUCAAUCACCAUGAGACAAGAUGACAAUAUGUUACAAGUACAGGCGCAGCUCAUUUCCGUGGCAGAACCAGGCAGCAUAGAACCUUGAACAAGAGGUGUGUCCUAAGGUACUGCUGCUUGAUCAGCAUGUCUCUGCCAGGAGUUCUGGGGGCUGGAGUCCCCCCAGAGGGAGGUGCUGGCUAAGAAGAAAGGAGGAGAGGUCAGGAGACCACCUCCCCCCCGCAGAAGUUUCGCUGCCAGAGAUCUUGGGGGAGGACUGGAGAUCACCAACCCAUUCAGUUUUUCAGCUGCUAGAAUUGCCCCGGCUUAGGGAGUCAGUCUGGGACCUGUCAGCACGUCUGCUGACAGCUGCACCAUUGGUUGCAUUUCCGCUGCCAGUGGUAGAGCGGGAGAAGAGAUUCAUUCCCCCUGUCAGCACGUCUGCUGACAGCAUGGCCAGUAGCAGCCUGGCUACUGACAAUAUU